rnacentral:rRNA from 1 species
UGGGGAAUUUUGGACAAUGGGCGAAAGCCUGAUCCAGCAAUGCCGCGUGUGUGAAGAAGGCCUUCGGGUUGUAAAGCACUUUUGUCCGGAAAGAAAUCCUUGGCUCUAAUACAGUCGGGGGAUGACGGUACCGGAAGAAUAAGCACCGGCUAACUACGUGCCAGCAGCCGCGGUAAUACGUAGGGUGCAAGCGUUAAUCGGAAUUACUGGGCGUAAAGCGUGCGCAGGCGGUUUGCUAAGACCGAUGUGAAAUCCCCGGGCUCAACCUGGGAACUGCAUUGGGGACUGGCAGGCUAGAGUAUGGCAGAGGGGGGUAGAAUUCCACGUGUAGCAGUGAAAUGCGUAGAGAUGUGGAGGAAUACCGAUGGCGAAGGCAGCCCCCUGGGCCAAUACUGACGCUCAUGCACGAAAGCGUGGGGAGCAAACAGGAUUAGAUACCCUGGUAGUCCACGCCCUAAACGAUGUCAACUAGUUGUUGGGGAUUCAUUUCCUUAGUAACGUAGCUAACGCGUGAAGUUGACCGCCUGGGGAGU